CUCGAGGCAGCUCAGUCCAAAAGAAAAUGGGGUUUGGUGUAAAUCUGGGGGUGUAAUGUUAUCAUAUAUCACGCUACCUCGUAAAACCGACACUGAAGCCUGCCGGACAACAAAUCACAGGUCAAAAUUAUGAGCUCUUCGUAUUAUGUGAAUGCGCUUUUUAGCAAAUAUACGGCGGGGGGUUCUCUUUUUCCAAAAGCAGAUGCCUUCGCCUCCUCCAUGCCCGGCUUGUACAAUGUGAACAGUACCAUAUAUCAAAACCCGUUUUCUUCCGGAUACAGCCUGGGCUCUGAUGCCUACAACCUGCAUUGUUCCUCUUUUGAUCAGAACAUUCCCGUCCUCUGCAAUGAGCUAACCAAACCCAGCUGUGAGAAAGCGGAGGAAAGCAACCUGCACAACCAGGCUGAGCCUAAUUUCCGGAUAUACCCCUGGAUGAGGUCUUCAGGUAGGGGCAAGCGGAGAGGGCUCGGAGCAGUGGCAGCCAG